GUUGUGGAUCCCUUGCAGGGCAGAAGGCAAUUGGACUAGAUGCUCUUUGGGGUCCCCUUCCUGGGUCUUAUGACCUUCCAAGGUCCUGUGAUUCCUCUCAAGAACAAUUUGUACGAAAUGUCAAUCUGUCGACCUGUGCUUCAAUGAAGGCCCUGUCCCGGCUUAUCUUCCUAGCCUGGCAUCAACUCUUAUCCCUUCUUAGAUAAGGGUGACCUUUUGAAGUUGACCGCUGGCCAAAUGCUUAUUGGGUCCGGGGCCAAAGCAAAUGCCCAACUCCAAGGGCCCUUUGUGGGGUUGGAGGUCCACUGUGGCCACUGUAAGGCCAAGAACAAUCUGGCCAUCUCUGCAGCAUUGGCACAGGGUCAUCAGAUAGGUAAGGAAAGGAAGAGGUCAGCUAAGGACAAGGUCUGGGCUGAGUAUAAAGAGAGGACUUCUUCGCUGAAUCAAGUCAUUCUUCUUCUGUUCUAAGAACAUUCAUCCAAGAAAAGGAAGAAGGCCCAUGCAAAAGAUGAACAUCUGGCUGCUUGGACUGGGCAUUGCCCUUCUCUGGACCGUCCAUGCCGAGGAUGAUGGGCCCUCUGAUACCGUCAAUGAGAAGGGUCCGAAGGAGAUGUACGCUUUGGGGGUUGCCACCAACGACCCGAAGUUGUUCCAGCACGUGAAAACGAUGAACAACAUGGCCAAGGUCACCUAUGAGGAGCUGGAGGACGGUAGCCUCUCAGUGACCGCCAUGAUCCCACUGAAAGAACGCUGCAAGUCUUUCACAGAGACCUUCAAGAAGACUGAAGAUGGGAAAUAUGUUAAAAUGUGCAAAUGGGGCCAGAAAGUUCUCCAUAUUAUCCAUGAGGCGGAUGGAUCCUUCUCCACUGUGGUUGUGACUAUAAAGAAGGAGGGCCAGGAACCCAAAGUGAUGGUUAUACUUUUGGGUAACAUUUCCACUCCUUUUCCUAAAUUAAUGCGGAAUUAAUGCAGUUUGACACCAUUUUAAUUGCCAUGACUCAAUGCUACGUGGUUCUGGCAGUGGUCGUUUUGCAAGGUCUAUAGCCUUCUCUGUCAAAG
rnacentral:lncRNA from 1 species